rnacentral:rRNA from 1 species
UACGGAGGGUGCGAGCGUUGUCCGGAUUUAUUGGGUUUAAAGGGUGCGUAGGUGGCUUUUUAAGUCAGUGGUGAAAUACAGCCGCUCAACGGUUGAGGUGCCAUUGAUACUGAAGAGCUUGAAACAAGUGGAGGCUGCCGGAAUGGAUGGUGUAGCGGUGAAAUGCAUAGAUAUCAUCCAGAACACCGAUUGCGAAGGCAAGUGGCUACGUUUGAUUUGACACUGAGGCACGAAAGCAUGGGGAGCAAACAGG